rnacentral:rRNA from 1 species
ACACGGAGGGCGCAAGCGUUGCUCGGAAUCACUGGGCGUAAGGCGGGUGUAGGCGGUCUAGCAAGUCAGAUGUGAAAGCCCACGGCUCAACCGUGGAAGUGCAUCUGAAACUGCUAGACUUGAGUGCCGGAGAGGGAAGUGGAAUUCCUGGUGUAGGGGUGAAAUCCGUAGAUAUCAGGAGGAACACCGGUGGCGAAGGCGACUUCCUGGACGGCCACUGACGCUGAGACCCGAAAGCGUGGGGAGCAAACAGGAUUAGAAACCCUAGUAGUCC